rnacentral:lncRNA from 1 species
AUGUUCAUGGUCUUCGAGGUAGGGAAAGACUCCUGGGCCCCCAUGUCCUCCUGGACUUGCUGUGAUGCCCAGCCUUUUCCCUCAAGGCCUUUGGCUUUUAUAAAACACAAGCCAGUACCAGACCCUUUCCUUCUCUGCUUCCUGCUGUGUCAUCCCACCUUAAGUCUUCAGCAUGAGCCAGUUAGCAACCUCCUGAAUCGUCACAUUCCAUUUUGGUUUGUUAGUGGUGGGAGGAGUGAGUGAGUUUGGAGAAGGUGAGAAGCAGGACUAGAAAUAUCAGAUAUUUUAUUUCUUUAUAAAAUAUUCUGCUGCCACCCAAAGAACCUGAGUUGGAAGGAUAAGCCAAGGGCUCCAAUUCCAUUUCCAGUUCUCUUCUGUUGCACCCCUCAGGGGCCGGGCCAGGGCCCUGAUGCCCACCAGGCCCAGCUGUUGCCUUAUUUCCCAUAAAGCUACCUGAAAAGCAGGAUCUCAGCGAGUCCAGGAGCUGCACGGACUUAGCCUUCGGGGGACCCGUGACCUCGGGCCAGAAGCUGCCCUCUGGGAAUUCUCUGCUUAGACAGGACUAUUCCUGAAGUUCACAGGCACCAGCUAAAUUACUGAGACCUGGCUCAAAGCUCAGACAUGGUUUUAGGUGUGGAAAAUUUGUUUCCCAUCAUAUAAAAUCCUGUGCUAGGCAUACUGUGCUGGACUUGGUGUUGGUCAUUUCUCUGUAGCCCAGGGCUGUAUUAGUUUGAACCUAGACAGGUCUUGAAGAUCAUAAUGGACUCCAUAAAACAGCCAAGGAGAGCAACAGCUGAUGUCCCAUACCAGGCCAAGUCCACUCCCCUCCCUUAGCUUUUCAUGGUGGGCUGAUCUUGCCAGGGAAACACUCCCCGGAAUUGACUGGUUUUCACUAAGCUUUCUGUUGGUUACCACUUUCAAGAGAGCGUUUCUUCUGUAAUUACACAGAAACAUUGCAAAGGAAUAAAUAAGUGGGGCAAAAUGACCUUAAUCAUGCUGUUCCAAAGAACAAAUCCAAAUUUUCCUCCUACACUGGGUACAAAAGGUCAUCCGACUUCCUAUGGUGAAAUUUUAAAUUAAUGUGUGCCUUUCAACACUGUUUGCUGUCUUAUCUACCCCAGAUGCUGCGAUCUGCAUUUUUUUAUUUUACAUGACUUUUUGAAUUAAAAGGUUUAUAUGGAUGUGAAUAUAGUCCAGUUUUGUCCUGUCCAACUUGCCAUCUCUUUAAAGGCAAAUGAAUUCUGCUAGAAAAGAGGCUUUUUGGGUCUGAUGCGCGCACCUCUUCCUGCCAUCCCAGGUUCCAACGCAGGCUGGGGUUCCUCCGAGGUCACUGAGAUAGAGCCUCAUGCAGCCUCCAAGGCUGGUGGCCGAAUAUUGAGGGCACUUCCUCACUUUGGAGCUAGGCAGGUAAUGUAGGUAAUGACACACGGUUCAUAGAUGCUGUACUCCUUCCUGCCAUUCGCACAGCAGCCGUAGAGGGUAAGAACACUUGCUGCCUCUUUCUAUAGAGAAAACAGGCCCAGAAGGUGGUUAACUUGCUCAGAGCCUCAUGGCCCAUGAACCAGGCUCCAAAGCCAGGUUCAUCUUAAACCAGCAAACCCCACCCUUCCUUCUCCAGUGGUGCUGGUGCCCCACUCCUAGCCCGGAUGUGGCUUCCCCACCUCAGUUUCCCCACAGCAGGGUCAGCCUGGUAGAGCAGCCAGAAGACAGCAGCUGCUCCAGAGGAGCAGGAGAGUUAGCUAGGAGAGGAGAGGGGACUGGCAGGUCUGGGAGUCACAGAAAUGAGG